rnacentral:lncRNA from 1 species
UGGGACGCUGGCAGCGUCAUCUCCUGGCAGCGGUGGUGGCUCGGGUGGGAGGCAGCGGUGGACUCUGGCCAGAAGUGGGGCAGAGUCGGUUGCUGGCCGGAGAGCAGCGAUGGGCGGCGGGUGGGCUGGCCGGAAGUAGGGGAAGCAAGGGUGCGUGGCUACGAUUGCUACUUCUUCUUCUCUCUUUCUUUCUUUCUUUCUUUCUUUUUUUUUUUUUUUUUUUUU